UAAGGAAUAUUGGUCAAUGGACGCAAGUCUGAACCAGCCAUGCCGCGUGAAGGAUGAAGGUCCUCUGGAUUGUAAACUUCUUUUAUCUGGGACGAAAACGGGAUUUUUAUCUCAAUUGACGGUACCAGAGGAAUAAGCACCGGCUAACUCCGUGCCAGCAGCCGCGGUAAUACGUAGGGUGCGAGCGUUAAUCGGAAUUACUGGGCGUAAAGCGUGCGCAGGCGGUUUUGUAAGACAGAUGUGAAAUCCCCGGGCUUAACCUGGGAACUGCGUUUGUGACUGCAAGGCUGGAGUACGGCAGAGGGGGGUGGAAUUCCACGUGUAGCAGUGAAAUGCGUAGAGAUGUGGAAGAACACCGAUGGCGAAGGCAGCUCCCUGGGUUGACACUGACGCUCAUGCACGAAAGCGUGGGGAGCAAACA
rnacentral:rRNA from 1 species